rnacentral:rRNA from 1 species
GACGAACGCUGGCGGCGUGCUUAACACAUGCAAGUCGAACGGAGUGGCGAACGGGUGAGUAACCCGUGGGUGAUCUGCCUUGCACUUCGGGAUAAGCUUGGGAAACUGGGACUAAUAACGGAAAGUGCAAGGUGAGCUCGCGGCCUAGCAGCUGGUUGGGGGGGUAAUGGCCUACCAAGGCGUCGACGGGUAGCCCGCCUGUGAGGGUGUACGGGUACAGUGGGACGGGGAUGCAGCCGAGGCUCCUACGGGAGGAAGGAGUGUGGAAUAGUGCACAAUGGGCGGAAGCGUGAUGCAGCGACGCCGGGUUGGGGAUGAAGGCCUUCGGGUUGUAAACUCCUUUCGACAGGGACUCGGUACCUGUUAAAGAAGCACCGGCUAACUACGUGCCAGCAGCCGCGUAAUUC